GCAGGCAGCAGCAGCAGCAGCAGCAGCAGCCAGUGACCCAGCAGCGCUGCGCCUGCGAUCGCGAUCCUCCGCUUCCAGCAGCAGCAGCAGGGGCAGGCAGCGCCCACUGAGUGUGGGAGGCCGGCGUGGGGCGGGUCUGAACGGAGCCGCCCCGACUCGUCUCUGGGCCCUCCGACCCCAGCCAGCCCCGCGGGGCCUCCGCCCGGCCUCUUCUCUCCGCCUGACGCUCCCUCUCCAGCGCCAUGGCGGCGGCGGCCGCCGCCGAGCCCAGCAGUGGCCGCUACCAGCAGUUGCAGAAUGAGGAGGAGCCUGGAGAGACUGAACACACUGUGAAUGAUGCCCCUCCACCUUACAGCAGCAUUUCUGGGGAGAAUGCAGAAUAUUUUGACUACAAAGAUGAGUCAGGGUUUCCCAAGCCCCCUUCUUAUAAUGUGGCCACAACACUGCCUAGUUACGAUGAAGCGGAGCGAAGUAAGGCUGAAGCUACCAUUCCCUUGGUUCCUGGAAGAGAAGAUGACUUUGUGGCACGGGAUGAUUUUGAUGAUACUGACCAGCUGAGGAUAGGAAAUGAUGGCAUCUUCAUGCUAACAUUCUUCAUGGCUUUUCUCUUCAACUGGAUUGGAUUUUUCUUGUCCUUCUGUCUGACCACUUCAGCUGCAGGACGAUAUGGGGCCAUUUCGGGGUUUGGUCUGUCUCUCAUUAAGUGGAUCUUGAUUGUCAGGUUCUCAACCUAUUUCCCUGGUUACUUUGAUGGUCAGUACUGGCUCUGGUGGGUUUUCCUUGUAUUAGGCUUUCUGCUGUUUCUCAGAGGAUUUAUCAAUUAUGCAAAGGUUCGGAAGAUGCCGGAUACAUUUUCCACUCUCCCCAGGACCAGAGUUCUCUUUAUUUACUAAAGUGUGUCUCUGUGGAUAAACGCUGUGCUGACAAGACUGGAGUCUUGCAAAGCUUGAAGGCAGGAAAUGAAAUAGGAUGCACAAUCCCGGAAGCUUGAAGUGUCCCUCAGGGGAGGCUUUCCCUAGAUGAGCCAGGAAGUAAAAUAUUGAUCAGGUCUUGCCAAGAAAAAUCUUUCUCCAGAAAAUCCUCUUGGGUUUUGAGUCCUGGUGGUAUGUGUUCUCGUUCCCUCUCUCUUCCCUUCCUCUUUCCCAAAUUCUUUUUAAAGAUGAUUGUUCCAGCCCAGCUAAUUCGGGAGUAUCACAUUAACUGGUAUUAUUUAUGGACUCUUAGAUUGUAAGGUAUAGAGGACAGGUAUUCUCUGUCUGCAUGUGUACCUCAUUUAUCAGUAUGGGGCCGUUAACUGCUACUGUAUUAUAAACAUUUAAAAUUUAUGAGCCUCAACUAAAGUUGGCUCUACCAGGCGAGGAGGGGCCUGAUGUGGUGUGGGGCAAGCCAAGUCUCCUUACCUUUCAUUGUUGUAAUGCUGUCUAGAGUACCCAAAUGGCCUACAUUGCCAUUGGUUCUGAACACCUCACAAACACCCCUGUGUAGUAGGGCAGUACUAUUAAGCCCAUUCUGCAGAUGAGGAACUGAGGCACGGCAAGACUGACCUGCCCAAAGUCAUAGAGCAAGUCUACCUUGGAGGAGGCAAAAGCAGAACUGAGAGAUCCUGAAUCCCAGUCUAGAGCCUUAAGCACAAAGUCAUUCAGCAGCAUUUUCCAGGGUAGUCGAUGCACUUUCACCCAGAUGAAAUUCACAGAGCUCUAAACCCCCCAGCCCUUUCUCUGCAAUAUCUCACAUGCAUUUCUAAUACCAUAACAUGCAUAAGGAUCAAAAAUGCUUUCCAUUUAAUCUCUGAGGAUAAGCAAGAAGGAUUCAACAUGCCAAAACCAAAAGGGCUUUCUGUCCUCCUUAUAGGCUCCAAAAUAACCUCUAAGCACCUUUCAAGUGAUUAGUUCCAACUCAAGGAGGGGAUGUUAGCAGGCACUAGAGUCAAACUUGCUGAGUCUUUCAUAGCACAACCUUUUAUUCUGUUCCCAAGAGCUGAUUUUGAUUCCAAUAUUCUAUGACCAGAGUAAAAACUUCCCAAGAGCAUAAAUAUGGGCUGUCCCCAAAUAUGAGCUUCCAGGUGCCAGAAAAAUUCCCUUAAAGGGUGAGGGGUUUUUUGCAAGUCAGUAACUUUUGCACAUCAAGUCAGUGACAUGUGCAGCUGUGUAAAAUAGGCACACAAAUCAAAAGCCUCAUUGCCCAAAUAGACUCUGGGAGCAAGAAAGCUCCAUGCCCAAUGAUGCAGUAUUUGGGGACUCGAUAGUACUGAGCCAUUUUUAAGAGGGUGUUUUUUAAUAUUUUUCGUUCCAUACAUGACUUAUUUUUGUUCUAACAUCUUAUUAUGUUUUCCUAUUGACAGUGAAGUGCUCUGAGAGUUAAUGUAAAACAGUCUUACA